GGCGGUAUUGUAAAGUCUUCAAC
rnacentral:siRNA from 1 species